ensembl:lncRNA
UCCAUGGGGUCACAAAGAGUCAGACACAACUGAGCGACUGUCAAGGAGAGACCCAGUUCAAAAUGAUGAUGUUCGUGGAUCCUAUGUCCCAUGGACACACUGCAUCCUAUAUACAGAACAAUUUCCUCUGAAAGAGCCACAAAAAGUGGUUGCUACAUAUCAGGCAAAUGAGAAAACCACAUCAAAGCAGGUAGGGGGAAGCUGAGACACAGUCUCACCAUAAACCCCACCCCCAGCAUGGCACCCACAAUCAGAAGCAGACUGGCACACCUGAGCUUCUCCCUGGGGAACAAAGGCUUUGAACUCCACAUCUGACAUCCCACAUUUUAAGACCUACACCUGAGAGGCAAGCUUCUGAAGUAUCUAGCUUUGACAGUCAGUGGAGCUUGUUUCCUCAAGACUCACAAGGCUACAGUUAUCUGGGAAUGCAGUGCAGAGGCAGACCGAAAAGGGCCAGUCUUUCUGUAAAAGAGGCCCAACUGCUUAUCGUAAAGCUUUGAGGUUUGUAUUACAAGUGGAAUAUAACUUAAAAAUUGUGGGAGAAGGCAAUGGUACCCCACUCUGCCGGGGUCCAGCCCCGGUGGAUCCAGGGAAUUCGAAGCGGGGACGGUGUCGGCGAGGAUCAGGAAACAACUGCUUAAUUAAAUGUUAAUUAAGGAUAUAAAGAGUAAUAGAAUAAGGAUAGCUGAGUGAGGAAAUUCAGUGGAGAAAAGAGGCUGAAUAAUUCAGCCAGAAGGUGAGAGAAAGAACAACAUGAGGUGACCAAGUUUCUGUGAACAAGGCCCGCACUUUAUUUUCCAAAGUAGUUUUUAUACCUUAAGUUAUGCAUAGAGGAUAAUGGGCGAAGAGGUAGAGUCAGGCAGCAAGCCAGGCUUUCUUCCUGCAAACUUAUCAUAUGCAAAAGUUUAGGUGAUUUGCAUCAUCUUCUGGCCCGGAGGCCUGUUAACAUUUUAAGACCCUUUCUUCAGAAAACUUACUUUUCUCUAAAGGUGAUUAGUCAAGUGCCACCCUCCA